ensembl:snRNA U4 U4 spliceosomal RNA
AACUUUUCUCAGUGGCAGUAUCAUAGUCAAUGAGGUUUAUCUGAUGCAUGAUUACUGCUAAUUAAAAACUUUUCAUUUUGAGGGCUGGAGUAGUAAUAGCACAGCGGGUAGGGCGUUUGCCUUGCACGCAGCCGACCCGGGC